rnacentral:rRNA from 1 species
AUACGGGGGGUGCAAGCGUUAAUGGGAAUUACUGGGCGUAAAGCGCGCGUAGGCGGCUUGUUAAGUCGGAUGUGAAAUCCCCGGGCUCAACCUGGGAAUUGCAUUCGAUACUGGCUAGCUAGAGUAUGAUAGAGGGAAGUGGAAUUUCAGGUGUAGCGGUGAAAUACGUAGAUAUCUGAAGGAACAUCAGUGGCGAAGGCGACUUCCUGGAUCAAUACUGACGCUGAGGUGCGAAAGCGUGGGGAGCAAACAGGAUUAGAUACCCCAGUAGUCC